GUGCCAGCCGCCGCGGUAAUACGUAGGGUGCAAGCGUUAAUCGGAAUUACUGGGCGUAAAGCGUGCGCAGGCGGUUUGCUAAGACCGAUGUGAAAUCCCCGGGCUCAACCUGGGAACUGCAUUGGUGACUGGCAGGCUAGAGUAUGGCAGAGGGGGGUAGAAUUCCACGUGUAGCAGUGAAAUGCGUAGAGAUGUGGAGGAAUACCGAUGGCGAAGGCAGCCCC
rnacentral:rRNA from 1 species